rnacentral:rRNA from 1 species
CCUACGGGAGGCAGCAGUGGGGAAUUUUGGACAAUGGGCGCAAGCCUGAUCCAGCAAUGCCGCGUGAGUGAAGAAGGCCUUCGGGUUGUAAAGCUCUUUUGUCAGGGAAGAAACGGUGGAGGUUAAUACCUUCUGCUAAUGACGGUACCUGAAGAAUAAGCACCGGCUAACUACGUGCCAGCAGCCGCGGUAAUACGUAGGGUGCAAGCGUUAAUCGGAAUUACUGGGCGUAAAGCGUGCGCAGGCGGUUGUGCAAGACAGAUGUGAAAUCCCCGGGCUCAACCUGGGAAUUGCAUUUGUGACUGUACGGCUAGAGUGUGUCAGAGGGGGGUAGAAUUCCACGUGUAGCAGUGAAAUGCGUAGAGAUGUGGAGGAAUACCGAUGGCGAAGGCAGCCCCCUGGGAUAACACUGACGCUCAUGCACGAAAGCGUGGGGAGCAAACAGGAUUAGAUACCCUGGUAGUCCACGCCCUAAACGAUGUCUACUAGUUGUCGGGUCUUUAUUGACUUGGUAACGCAGCUAACGCGUGAAGUAGACCGCCUGGGGAGUACGGUCGCAAGAUUAAAACUCAAAGGAAAUUGACGG